rnacentral:tRNA from 1 species
GGCGCUGUGGCUUAGUUGGUUAAAGCGCCUGUCUCGUAAACAGGAGAUCCUGGGUUCAAAUCCCAGCAGUGCCU